CUUUACAACCUAACCAUCCAUAAGCAUUGUCAAGCCUUGGCAACAUAUACAAGGACUGUAACAUGAUGAGUGUUGUUGCAUCAUUCUAUAAGGCAACUUUAGCAGUUACAACAGGGAUAUCUGCGCCUUUCAACAACUUGGCUAUUAUAUACAAGCAACAGGGAAAUUAUGCAGAAGCGAUAGCCUGUUACAAUGAAGUUCUUCACAAACUGCUGCUGAUGGUCUUGUCAAUAGAGGGAACACAUUUAAGGAGAUUGGUAGAGUUACUGAAGCAAUUCAGGAUUAUAUACGUGCUGUGAAUAUCAGACCAACUAUGCCUGAAGCCCAUGCAAAUUUGGCUUCAGCUUACAAAGAUAGUUUACAAAUCUCAAGUAUUUCAGAGUUGAAAUUGAUGAAGUGCGGUUCGAGUGGGC